GUAUUUUCCAGAUUUUGUAUGCAGUUGACGGAUUUGCUGAAGUUUCUAACAAUCCCCAAGACUUACACACCACAGCAAGGGAUGGGAUAUAUUUAUAAGAUGUAAUAGGCUAGAUAGAAUGCCAGUGGACAUUGUUGUUUUAAUCCACAGUCAUUUAAACCUGCUUGUGGAAGAGCUUUUCCUGAGAGGUAAAACAUGUGGCAGUGGCCAGGGGAGCCACACUUCCAGACUGCUGAACAUCAGAGGGGCUGAACUGCAAGGCCGGUCCCUUCUUGUCUCCCUCAGCUGCAGUUCUGCCUGAAAACCUGCAAGACAUCCUCUGAAAUGAGCAGCACAGCCCACAGGAGAGUGUAUAUGCAUGUAUGAGAUUCCAUCACGGACUCCAGCAUUCAGCGGGCAAAAGACCAAAACAGGAGCUAGCAAAACUACCUCUUCUGGGCCUGAACUUUUAUUGCUCUCUCUGGGGGGCACUUGUAUAUAACUUCCAGUCAAAUGCAAUCAGAUGAAAGAGCAGUCCUUUCCAUAAAACUCAAACUAAUAACUUUCCCCUAAAACAAAGUCUGAAAUAAACGAAGCUGCGUUCAACAGUCUAACAACGAGAGCUGAGGCCCUGAACUGGGAGUCCUGAGCCUGGAGCAGGAAGGCUGUUGCUGGACAAAGUACUUGGAUACUGCCUGUGCAGUUGGUGGACGAAAACCUGGAUAUGAGAUAACAAUGUGCACUCACAUGCAAGAAGACCAACUGUAUGCAGGGCUGCAUCAAAAGAAGUGUGACCAGCAGGUGGAGGGAAAUUAUUCUGCCCCUCUACUCUGCCCUGGUGAAACACAACCUGGAUCCUCGCAUCAGGCUCUGGAGUUCUCAGCACAGGAACAUUACAAAGCGAGCUUACCUGCUUUUCUACUCCUGGCAAACUAUUUUGUUGCUUACGAACAUAAGAAAACUGUGAAAGAUAAGGUGAAAUUUAAGAAGAUUUAAGCUUUAUUCAUGAGGAUGUUCUUAAAGAAAACCUUUUCAUCUCUAGAAGACCCAUAUCGGGAUUCCUUGUGGAUUUGCUUUUCUAGCUUUCCUGGUGUCUCCAGGAACCUGCAGAGAUGCAGGGAAGAGUGAAAUAUGAGAAGGUAUGGCAUUUCAGCUCUCACUGUUAACAGGAUCUGUACUCCCAAGUCAUUAGAAGUGAAUCCUACUGGCACAUGCCCUGAGCAGCUGAAAGAAAAGUGUUGGAGCGGUCUGAGAUGUAUUUUAGAUCAGAAUGUUUAAAAACUGGCAGUAAAAGCAAGUAAUGCUAAUUGCACAGUGAGUUUUGCCAAGGUUGCAGGAAAACUCCCAGUGCCUGUUUCAGCAAAUACCAUCAAGACAAAUAAUCAACAACUGGAUUGCAUAAAUAGUUUAACAUUGUGUUAUGUUAAUAAUGCCAUUUACUGGAACUAAAGUGGCCUGUCUGUUUGCCUGUCUCUUUGUAGAACGUCUAUGCUGAUUGUGGGAAACAGGAGGCAAAUUUACACCAUAAAGAAGCACAGAAUUUUCCACUGUUAUAUUCAUGUGUAAACCCUGCCAUUCUUACUUUCUGCCUCUGUGCUUUCUGUUCCACUUCCACUGUUUUCAGCGACCCAGAGAAAUGUAUACAGCCUUUGUCCUCCCCACAGCUCCAUAUGAAGUGCAAAUAUGACAUGUAGCUGCUUUCCUGAUAAAAAGAGUAGUGUGAAAGCAGUUUAGGAAGGUAAAUAAAAAAGAACUGAAACAAUCUCCAUCCCUGAUGGCUCUUUCAGAAGGUGUAAAUUCAGUUUUGCCAUCGUUGGCAGGGAUUACAGCCCUGUGCAGAGCAAAGUUCCUGAAUUUUUUGCCCAGUGGAGUAUGGGCAAGUCACUUGGUUUACUUUAGCCUGGGUUUCUCUGUAAAACUAACGCAUGCAACGGGUGGGCAACACAGUUAGUUCUUUUGCCACUAUGACAGUAAGUCAUAGAGUAGCUUCAAAUAAUGAAUCAUUCCUCCAGUGUUUACUUUAAUCACUAUGAUAAAUCACUCCAAAUAGAGAAACAAUAAAAAGAUUUAACAAAAUAUGAAAAUCUAGUAGAUGUGUAAUAUCGAAUAACCUGUGGUAAUCUUGUCACUUGAGUUGUAUUACCUUCAAGUCUUUUAUUUGUCAUACUAGUUCUCUGUUGACCUCUUUGCUAUGUCUCAUUUGAAUCUCAUUGCUGUCUCUCUUGUUUAUCCAUGUACCAUCAUCUGUGGCGAUUCAUGAAGAAUAGUUUUGUCCAGCAUUGUUUGUAGUUAUAUUAUUUCCAGUGUUUAAUGUUUUACCUUGCUUACAGAUUAAGUCAAAUGUUUUGCAUUGGUGUUUCUGGUUUUGGAGAUCUGUACUAUAUGUAACACCUCCAGUGAUUUUAAAUAAAGCGAAAUAGAAUAGCCUCAUUCUGUCCUUUCUUAUGUGACAGUCACAAUGGCUGAAAAGUAACCAGAUAAUUAUCUUUUGAAAUAACCAAAGUUAUCCUUAGUGAUUGUUAUUGCCACCAGCUGA